UACAUGAGUAACGAGCGUUAUUCCCUGUUGUUGGGUGUUAAAAAUCUUUCGGCAGUAUUUAUUAUCAAUUACUAACUAAAACAUUAUAAUGAAUUAUUAUUUUAUGUAUUUUUAGGGGUAAAAUCCUUUUCAAGAAAUACAAAAAAUCUAAUGACGGAAGUAUUACUUUACUAUAAUGUUUUGCCUUAGAAGAUGACAGUAUAGGUUGUGGCGAGGAUUCGGGACCCUUUUAAUCUAUACCGUAAAUUAUGAUUAUCCCUUUUUUAGGUUGCUAACGCAAGAAUAAUCUACCUGGGGCUUAAAACCGCAAGGUUUAAACUUAAAAAAAUUGGCGGGACUUAUUAUACGGUGGAACAUGUGAUUUAAUGCGGGAAUCCUCGCAAAAUCUUACUAGAGAAAUAAAUAGUGCUAGUUAAUAUGCAUAAACAAAUAUGACACUAUUUGUUAGGUAUUGCAUGGCUGUCGUCAGUUCGUGCUGUGAAGUGUAGUUUUUUCGAACUUAACGAACUUUCAACUAAUUAAAUUAUGAUUAUCUAAGUUUGAAGUCAAGUCUUUAUGAUCUGUAUGCUCUAGGCUGCACACGUGUUACAAACGGAAAAACACUCUACUCUACAACUUAAAAGUUAAAGAAUUAGUAAAAAUUCCGUUUUUUAGAUUGUUAAUUUUUAGUCAUUAACAUGAAAAUGAAAUCGUCAGUAAUCGCACUUCAGAAUGUUGCGGUGAAGAAAAGUUAAGUUUGCACACACCGCCCAUCACGCUCAGAGAAUUUUACUGAUUUAAGGGUUUUAAAAUUGCAAGGGGUCACUAACAAAUAUACCCGCGUAUGCUUAAUAACUGAUUCAUGUAAGGUAAUUGGAGUGAAG
rnacentral:rRNA from 1 species